UUUCACCCAAGUGCGAGAACUCAAUAGAUAUUUAGUGAAAUGAUAAAAAGACGAACAUGUAUAGGAUCGAAUGUUAAUUGGAUUUCUAAUCUAACAUGUCCUCUCUUACUUAAUAUGUGUGCCAUGGUCACAAUGUAGUGAGGAGGGCUAGCCUCCUUAUAUAUAAAUAUGUAUGAUUGUGCUAAUUUUAGUAGAAUGGAUAGAAAAGUCUCUCUUCAUGCAUAGCAUUUAUUCUUGCAAUUCAGUCC
rnacentral:lncRNA from 1 species